rnacentral:rRNA from 1 species
CUACCGGUUGGGAAAGGUGCAACUGCACCGCAGGAUGGAGGAGCCCGCGGCGCAUUAGCUAGUUGGUGGGGUAACGGCCCACCAAGGCGACGAUGCGUAGCCGACCUGAGAGGGUGACCGGCCACACUGGGACUGAGACACGGCCCAGACUCCUACGGGAGGCAGCAGUAGGGAAUCUUCGGCAAUGGGCGAAAGCCUGACCGAGCAACGCCGCGUGAGCGAAGAAGGCCUUCGGGUUGUAAAGCUCAGUCACCCGGGAAGAGCGGGCAGGAGAGGGAAUGCUCCUGUCGAGACGGUACCGGGAGAGGAAGCCCCGGCUAACUACGUG